AGAGUUUGAUCCUGGCUCAGGACGAACGCUGGCGGCGUGCCUAACACAUGCAAGUCGAACGGAACUGUUUUGAAAGAUUUCUUCGGAAUGAAUUUGAUUUAGUUUAGUGGCGGACGGGUGAGUAACGCGUGAGUAACCUGCCUUCAAGAGGGGGAUAACAUUCUGAAAAGAAUGCUAAUACCGCAUGACAUAUCGGAAUCACAUGGUUUUGAUAUCAAAGAUUUUAUCGCUUGAAGAUGGACUCGCGUCCGAUUAGUUAGUUGGUGAGGUAACGGCUCACCAAGACCGCGAUCGGUAGCCGGACUGAGAGGUUGAACGGCCACAUUGGGACUGAGACACGGCCCAGACUCCUACGGGAGGCAGCAGUGGGGGAUAUUGCACAAUGGGGGAAACCCUGAUGCAGCGACGCCGCGUGGAGGAAGAAGGUUUUCGGAUUGUAAACUCCUGUCGUUAGGGACGAUAAUGACGGUACCUAACAAGAAAGCACCGGCUAACUACGUGCCAGCAGCCGCGGUAAAACGUAGGGUGCAAGCGUUGUCCGGAAUUACUGGGUGUAAAGGGAGCGCAGGCGGACCGGCAAGUUGGAAGUGAAAACUAUGGGCUCAACCCAUAAAUUGCUUUCAAAACUGCUGGCCUUGAGUAGUGCAGAGGUAGGUGGAAUUCCCGGUGUAGCGGUGGAAUGCGUAGAUAUCGGGAGGAACACCAGUGGCGAAGGCGACCUACUGGGCACCAACUGACGCUGAGGCUCGAAAGCAUGGGUAGCAAACAGGAUUAGAUACCCUGGUAGUCCAUGCCGUAAACGAUGAUUACUAGGUGUUGGAGGAUUGACCCCUUCAGUGCCGCAGUUAACACAAUAAGUAAUCCACCUGGGGAGUACGACCGCAAGGUUG
rnacentral:rRNA from 1 species